GACGGAGGGUGCUAGCGUUGUUCGGAAUUACUGGGCGUAAAGCGCACGUAGGCGGCUUUGUAAGUUAGAGGUGAAAGCCCAGGGCUUAACCCUGGAAUUGCCUUUAAGACUGCAUCGCUAGAAUCGUGGAGAGGUGAGUGGAAUUCCGAGUGUAGAGGUGAAAUUCGUAGAUAUUCGGAAGAACACCAGUGGCGAAGGCGACUCACUGGACACGUAUUGACGCUGAGGUGCGAAAGCGUGGGGAGCAAACAGG
rnacentral:rRNA from 1 species